GACGAACGCUGGCGGCGUGCUUAACACAUGCAAGUCGAACGGAAAGGCCCUGCUUUUGUGGGGUGCUCGAGUGGCGAACGGGUGAGUAACACGUGAGUAACCUGCCCUUGACUUUGGGAUAACUUCAGGAAACUGGGGCUAAUACCGGAUAGGAGCUCCUGCUGCAUGGUGGGGGUUGGAAAGUUUCGGCGGUUGGGGAUGGACUCGCGGCUUAUCAGCUUGUUGGUGGGGUAGUGGCUUACCCAGGCUUUGACGGGUAGCCGGCCUGAGAGGGUGACCGGCCACAUGGGGACUGAGAUACGGCCCAGACUCCUACGGGAGGCAGCAGUGGGGAAUAUUGCACAAUGGGCGGAAGCCUGAGGCAGCAACGCCGCGUGCGGGAUGACGGCCUUCGGGUUGUAAACCGCUUUCGCCUGUGACGAAGCGUUAGUGACGGUAAUGGGUGAAGAAGCACCGGCUAACUACGUG
rnacentral:rRNA from 1 species